GGCGGCGUGCCUAAUACAUGCAAGUCGAACGGAAUUUAAGAGGGCUUGCUCUUUUAAAUUUAGUGGCGCACGGGUGAGUAAUAUAUAGCUAAUCUGCCCCUUGCUGGAGGACAACAGUUAGAAAUGACUGCUAAUACUCCAUACUCCUUUUUACCAUAAGAUAAAUCGGGAAAGAAUUUCGGCAAGGGAUGAGACUAUAUCGUAUCAGCUAGUCGGUGGGGUAACGGCCUACCGAGGCUAUGACGCGUAACUGGUCUGAGAGGAUGAUCAGUCACAUUGGAACUGAGACACGGUCCAAACUCCUACGGGAGGCAGCAGUAGGGAAUAUUGCGCAAUGGGGGAAACCCUGACGCAGCAACGCCGCGUGGAGGAUGACACUUUUCGGAGCGUAAACUCCUUUUGUUAGGGAAGAAUAAUGACGGACCUAACGAUAAGCCCCGG
rnacentral:rRNA from 1 species